UACGGAGGUGGCAAGCGUUGCUCGGAAUCACUGGGCGUAAAGGGCGCGUAGGCGGGGAGGUAAGUCGGGUGUGAAAUCCCUCGGCCCAACCGAGGAACUGCGCCCGAGACUGCUUCUCUUGAGUCCCGGAGAGGAAGAUGGAAUUCCCGGUGUAGCGGUGAAAUGUGUAGAGAUCGGGAGGAACACCGGUGGCGAAGGCGGUCUUCUGGACGGUGGCUGACGCUGAGGCGCGAAAGCGUGGGGAGCAAACGGG
rnacentral:rRNA from 1 species